AAAGAUGCUUUGGUGCCUUCGGGAACUCUGAGGACAGGUGCUGCAUGGCUGUCGUCAGCUCGUGUUGUGAAAUGUUGGGUUAAGUCCCGCAACGAGCGCAACCCUUAUCCUUUGUUGCCAGCGGUCCGGCCGGGAACUCAAAGGAGACUGCCAGUGAUAAACUGGAGGAAGGUGGGGAUGACGUCAAGUCAUCAUGGCCCUUACGAGUAGGGCUACACACGUGCUACAAUGGCGCAUACAAAGAGAAGCGACCUCGCGAGAGCAAGCGGACCUCAUAAAGUGCGUCGUAGUCCGGAUUGGAGUCUGCAACUCGACUCCAUGAAGUCGGAAUCGCUAGUAAUCGUGGAUCAGAAUGCCACGGUGAAUACGUUCCCGGGCCUUGUACACACCGCCCGUCACACCAUGGAAGUGGGUUGCAAAAGAAGUAGGUAGCUUAACCUUCGGGAGGGCGCUUACCACUUUGUGAUUCAUGACUGGGGUGAAGUCGUAACAAGGUAGGCGUAGUGCU
rnacentral:rRNA from 1 species